rnacentral:lncRNA from 1 species
AUGAAGGAAUGCCUCUCUCUAGGCCCUACCCCCAGAGAUUCUGAUGCAAUUGGGCUGGGGUGGGGCCUCCUGGCAGGGAUCCUCGUUUUCAAAACCUCCCCGGGGCCAUUCACAUGUGCAGCCCCGGCUGAGAACCAUGGAUCUAGAGUGAGGUCAUGGGAUCUGCAAACUUUUCAAAGCCGCACAGAUGAUCUUAAAAUUGUUAUCUCCUGUUCUCCAAUGGGGAAACUGAGGCAGAGGAAGAAGCUCUGUGUGGCUUCAGGCCUCAGAACCUGCUCAUGGUAAGCCAGGAAUAGAACCCUUGUCUUUUGUAAACCAGCUAAGCGUGGAAAGCACGGGACACGUCUCUCCAGUCUUUGCUGCUUGUUCAAGUGUGCUUCAGAGUGUGCCCCUUCUCACUAAUUUGAACACUUGGGAGUAUGUUCUCCAGCUUCCAGCGGAUGUCCUGGUUCCUAAAAGUGUUCAGAGUACUGCCACUACUUCCUGCAGAUGUGCAAACCAGCAGGUGGAGAGGGAAAGAGCAGGAAGGAAGUUGAGUAAAGGUGGGAGGGUAGUAGGAAGUACCCCCUCUCAGGCUCCUCCUUUCCUAGGCAGCUACUGUCUGUUCAAAACCACAGCAAGGCUGCCCAAAGCGAUGUCUUCAACAGGAGGGAGGUGUUGGUCCAGAAACAGUAAAGCUAAUCUUUGUUGAGGGCUUGUUAAUGAGACAACAUGCUGAGCAUCAUCUUGUAUCAUCUUCACCUUAACCACAGAAGACACUAACAUCACUGUCUCCUUUCUGCAGGUGAGGAGCUCAAAGCAUAAAGAGAGGAAGUCACUUGUUUCAGCUCUCAGGGUCCAGGAGCCUGUCUGACUCCAGAGGGGACUCAUGCCUGGGCUUCCUGUCUCCAGGGAAUCUGGACAGAGCGGUGGAAAUUUCAGGUCUCACACUCCUUGGGCUUGGGGUUGCCCAGCAAAAGGGGAUGCCCACCAUUUGUGCCACAUUUAAGUCCAUAAUGGACAAUCAGAUAAAGCUUUAAGAAUGUCAGCUCCAGGGGGAUUGCUGGAGUCUGGGUCAUUAUCAUCUCUCCUUCCUCUCUCCUUCCUCCUCCUCCUUCUCCUUCUUCUUCUUUGGGAUGUAACACUUAUUUGUGGAGAGCCUGAACCCCUUAGAUGAAUAUGGUAUCUUAUUCCCCGAAACCCUUUUGUCAUAUCUGUUGGCAGAACUUAGAAGUGUGCAUUUCACUUCCCUAAGAGAUGUGCCAAAGUCCAACGUUUUAAAAAAGAAAAAAAGAAAAAUGGGUCCCUCUGGAGUUUUCAUUCAUUUACUCAGAAAUAAUCAGAAUGUGAGCAACAAGGAUGUAGUAGGCACGAUGCUGAGCAGUAGGACAUAGAAGUGAAUAUGAUGGGUUUGGUUCCUCUCUCUGGGAGUUUAUAGCUUUGGACAGGGGCUGGCAAAGUCUAGCUGUGGGCCAACGGCUGCCUGUUUUUAUAAAUAAAGUUUUAUUGGAACAUAGCCACACUCAUCCAUUCACAAUUUGCCUGUGGCUACCUUUGCACUAAAACAGUGGAGUUGAGUCAUUGCAACAGAGACAAGAUGACCUGAAAAGUGUGGAAUCUUUACUAUCUGGCCCUUUCUGGAAAAAGUUUGCCAACCCCUGUCCUAGGAUAACAUUUAUUUUUCAAGCCCGGAAAUUUUUCUUUCAGAUGAACGUGUGUAUUUAUCCUCAAACUGGCUAUCCAUUAGGACCAGGCAGUUGGCUUCCUAAAGGAAACGGUCAUCACUGGAGGACUCAGCAAUGCUGAGAAAAACAAAAUGAUGACAAUAAAGUAACCACCAGCAUUUCCUGAGUGUUUGCUACUAGCCAAGCAGAGCUCUAAGCAUGGGUUACCUUGCUCAGUUCUCACAGUUCCUCUCUACAGGCAGCACUGUUAUUACUCCCAUUUUACAGAUGGAGGCUGGAUAAAUAACCAGAUUUUGGAGCUAGAAGGAGCCGGCCGGGCACACACUCUUCCCUGUUGCUCUGCAUUGGAAGAGGUAGUGGGGUGCGGGGUCCUAUCCAAGCAGGCUGGAGAGAUGGAGAUCCACACCGCCCACCCCCAACCCCAGAAGUGGCCAAACAGUGCUGGGCCUAUUUUUAGGCCUGAAGAAAAUCCUCAUACAAGAGAGGAUGAGUCUCUCCCUUGCCCUCUGUACACAUACACAGACACACUCUCUGAUUGGAGGGGGAUGCAAUUGCGACACCAUGCUCUGAGCUUCUCUGUAAUUAAGGUGCUUCUCAGAUGUGGGUGUGUCUAAUGACUCUGCUAAUGCUGAUCCGUGGGGGAUGCUUUGGAAUUCAGUGGGAAAAAAAUAGAGGCAUUGAUUCAUUCUGUCAGAAAGAAGAAAUAGAAGGAGCUCCUUUAGAGUUUAUUUCUCUAUCCCUUUCUUUGAGAAUUCCCAAGACCCUAAUGGCCAUGCUCUUCCUUUGCUUCUGACACCCCCUGAAUUCCUUCUCCCCAUCUCCAGAAUAUCAUUGCCCUUGCCACAACAAGCUUUUCCGAAAACAUGAAGGCCUCUCCUGGGAUUCUUUUUUUUUUUUUUUUUUUAAGAUUUAUUUAUUUAUGAUAGACCUAGACAGAGAGAGAGAGAGAGAGAGAGAGAGAGGCAGAGACACAGGAGGAGGGAGAAGCAGGCUCCAUGCCAGGAGCCCGACGUGGAACUUGAUCCCCGGACCCCAGGAUGGCGCCCUGGGCCAAAGACAGGUGCUAAACCGCUGAGCCACCCAGGGAUCCCCUCUCCUGGGAUUCUUAAAAUGUAAUAGCAGGACCACAAAAAUGAUACUGGAGCAACUCCCAUGUCUGAGUAGGGGAGGAUACUUUACCAAGUUCAGGAGCAGAGUAGAGAGGUCUCCAUUCCUUGUAUGUCUUCCCAGUUAUCAAGAAGACAUAACCCUGGGGCGCCUGCGUGGCUCAACCGUUGAGUGUCUGCCUUUGGGUCAGGGCAUGAUCCUGGAGUCCUGGGAUCGAGUCCCACGUUGGCAGGGAGCCUGCUUCUCCCUCUGCCUGUGUUUCUGCCUUUCUCUCUCUGUGUGUCCCAUGAAUAAAUAAAUGCAUAAAAUCUUUUUUUUUUUAAAUGAAGACAUAAACCUAAGGCUACUCAAACUUUCUUUCUGAACUUGGCAUUAGUUGAUGACAGCCCGGGAAGCUUUGCUUCUGUUAUGGUUGUUCAGAACCAAUCACUGGCCUUAUUCUCAGGAACUUGUACAGAUGUAGCUUGCCACAAGAACAGGUAGGGGAUCAUUUCUGUGUCUCCCACGCACUGGGGCCAUUGGAACACGGAUUGAUACAGGAAGUCCGAACCACUCCGUGGAGGCCUCCCCUUUUGAGAGUUUACAGUGUCCUAGCUCCAUAGUGUCUGAAUGUGGGUAUUUGCACCCACUACCCCUUGUUUCUGAAAGCCCUGUGCUAUAGAUAUAUCCGACAGGACUCUCACCGAAUGUGCUUUCUAAGUUACUCAUUUCAGACAGAAGCCUGAGUCCUGUCUUAACCUUGAUAGAGCCAUAAGUAGAACGAGCAAAUGUAUAUAGUCUCUAAAAUAUGCAUGGAAUUACAAAAAAGUAAAAGGUACCUACUUUUAGGUCUGACAAGCUCUUCACUCCAUAGAAUUAUGCACCACAGUCCCCACCGUUCUGUAAAAUCUUCGGGAGGCCUUGCAUUUCAUAUGCAAGCAGUACCAGCAUGGCAUUCCUAGAACAUUUAAAUAGGCUGUCUCUAUAGAAUUAGCUAGACAGCCAGCAUUGGAGGAGUUAGGAGAUAAUUAUGUCUUCCAUAAAAUGAAGUUCUGUUCUAAGGAGGAAACGUGGCCAAGAUGCCAGGUACGUUUUUCGUUUUCUUUGUAUCUUGGCCGUCUCAAGCCAAGACACAUUCCAAGCCACCCGUUUGCUCAUGUUUCUUUCGUGAAAUGACUCUAUUUUCUCAGGGCUCACGAGUAACUAUCACAGUGAGGAUAUAGAUUUCAUUUUCCUCCAAGAUUUUAUUUAGGACACACUUUGGGGAUCUUGCAUAACCUCUCUGAAAAGAAGUUUGCAAAAUAAAACGAUCUUGUCAUCUGCUUCUUUCUUUCUUUCUUUCUUUCUUUCUUUCUUUCUUUCUUUCUUUCUUUCUUUCUUCUUUCUUUCUUCUUUAACAGAAUUAAAUUAACAGAAAAGAUCCAAGCUUUCUAGUUUAAAUUUAUACCAAAUUGAUUCAAAGUUAACAUAUUUUUGAAAGGGUUAUCUAAUAGAAUUUCAAAUGGCUCUUGCUAAUGCUUAGUCUUAUUUCUGAUCCCAGCUCCCCUGUCUUUGAGAACCUAAGGAACCAGUUAGUAAGAAGGUAAGGGAAAUGACAGGAAAAGCGAAUUGGAAGAUAGAUUACAUUCAUGUCCUCUGUGUGGUGUCUUUAACAUAAUAGUCCUUGAAGAAAAAAAAGAGAGACAAGAUUUGGAAGAAAUAGAGGGCUACCCCCAAUGAUAUCUCUUGAUAUCAUACUUAUCAUGUGGGGCCGCCAUGCAUAGUUGUUCACUUUGAGACUGCACAAUCCA